UACGUAGGGGGCAAGCGUUGUCCGGAAUCAUUGGGCGUAAAGAGCGCGUAGGCGGCCCUGUAAGUCCGCUGUGAAAGUCAAGGGCUCAACCCUUGGAUGCCGGUGGAUACUGCAGGGCUAGAGUCCGGAAGAGGCGAGUGGAAUUCCUGGUGUAGCGGUGAAAUGCGCAGAUAUCAGGAGGAACACCGAUGGCGAAGGCAGCUCGCUGGGACGGUACUGACGCUGAGGCGCGAAAGCGUGGGGAGCGAUCCGG
rnacentral:rRNA from 1 species